rnacentral:lncRNA from 1 species
UUUUUUUUGCCAAGAAAAGGAAGAGAACACGGAUCCAGCUCCUCUUUGCCUUCAGCAGCUUAAGUCUGCGUGUGCUUAAGGUGUGUCGAGUAAGAAGUUUGGAGAAGAUAACCCGGGGGAGGAUUUGAUUCGUCGCUGUUCUUAGGGCCUUGGUAGAGGUUCUUAUUGAAUAAGAAGAAAGCUCAUCAGGUCGUUUGGAGGUGGGGUGGUUCGAAGGAGAUGAACUUUAUGGGGGUGGGUCGUUCUUUGAAAAGCUGCGCUAAUGCUCUUUUUUCCAGAAUCUUGUGUGUUAUUUCGUGUCCUCCAUUGGAAGAAGAUGAAGUUUUUGUUGGGGAAUCUCUUGUGAUGAAAACGGCUCAGUUUUUUUUUUUUUUUUAAUUUUUCAGCCCAGGCGUUAAUUUUUGUC